ACACUUGAGAUAAAUUCUAACUGUAACGUAUGUGUUAAAUGGGUUAGUCAAUGUUACACAUCGGAACACACACUGGAGAUAAAUUCUAAUUGUAACGUAUGUGUUAAAUGGGUUAGUCAAUGUUACACAUUGGAACACACACUUGAGAUAAAUUAUAAAUAUAACGUGAGUGGUAAAUGGGUAGGUCAAUGUUACACAUCGGAACACACACUUGAGAUAUAUUAUAAAUGAAAUGUGUGUGGUGUUACAUCCUGG
rnacentral:lncRNA from 1 species